ensembl:ncRNA
CGGCACAUGUUGAAGUACACUCA